GCCAAAUAACUACGAGUACAGACUUAAAAUUUAAAAGACUUGACGGUACCCCAUAACAACCUAGAGGAGCCUGUCAAAUAACCGAUAAUCCACGAUUAACCCUACCCCCCCUAGCCCAACAGUCUAUAUACCACCGUCGCCAGCCCACCUUGUGAAAGAAACUAAAGUGGGCUAAACAGCCACAUGCUAACACGACAGGUCGAGGUGUAACUAAUGGGUGGGUCAAAGAUGGGCUACAUUUUCUAACACAGAAAAUACGAAUAAACUAUGAAAUAAGAAACUGAAGGCGGAUUUAGCAGUAUACUAAGAACAACAUACCUAGUCGAAACUAAUGCAAUGAGGUGCGUACACACCGCCCGUCAUCCCUGUAAACUAACUAAAAACAUACAUAAAUUCAUAUAUAUCAACAACAGGGCAAGUCGUAACAAGGUAAGUGUACA
rnacentral:rRNA from 1 species